rnacentral:rRNA from 1 species
AACGAAUCUCUUUUAGAGAUGAGUGGCGAACGGGUGAGUAAUACAUAGGUAACCUGCCCCUGUGCGGGGGAUAACAGGAGGAAACUCCUGCUAAUACCGCAUAGCCAUGAGCACCGCAUGGAGCUCAUGCCAAAUAUCCUUUAUGGGAUAGCGCAGGGAUGGACCUAUGGCGCAUUAGCUGGUUGGCGGGGCAACGGCCCACCAAGGCAACGAUGCGUAGCCGGCCUGAGAGGGCGGACGGCCACAUUGGGACUGUGACACGGCCCAGACUCCUACGGGAGGCAGCAGUAGGGAAUUUUCGGCAAUGGGGGAAACCCUGACCGAGCAACGCCGCGUGAGCGAAGAAGGCCUUCGGGUCGUAAAGCUCUGUUGUAAAGGAAGAACGGCGCAUACAGGAAAUGGUAUGCGAGUGACGGUACUUUACCAGAAAGCCACGGCUAACUACGUGCCAGCAGCCGCGGUAAUACGUAGGUGGCGAGCGUUAUCCGGAAUCAUUGGGCGUAAAGAGGGAGCAGGCGGCCGCAAGGGUCUGUGGUGAAAGCCCGAAGCUAAACUUCGGUAAGCCAUGGAAACCGGGCGGCUAGAGUGCGGAAGAGGAUCGUGGAAUUCCAUGUGUAGCGGUGAAAUGCGUAGAUAUAUGGAGGAACACCAGUGGCGAAGGCGACGGUCUGGGCCGCAACUGACGCUCAUUCCCGAAAGCGUGGGGAGCAAAUAGGAUUAGAUACCCUAGUAGUCCACGCCGUAAACGAUGGUCACUAAGUGUCGGGGGUCAAACCCCGGUGCUGCAGUCAACGCAAUAAGUGACCCGCCUGAGUAGUACGUUCGCAAGAAUGAAACUCAAAUGAAUUGACGGAA